rnacentral:rRNA from 1 species
UACGGAGGGUGCAAGCGUUGUUCGGAAUUAUUGGGCGUAAAGGGCGCGUAGGCGGUGCCACAAGUCACCUGUGAAAUCUCCGGGCUUAACUCGGAGCCUGCAGGCGAAACUGUGGUGCUGGAGUGUGGGAGAGGUGCGUGGAAUUCCCGGUGUAGCGGUGAAAUGCGUAGAUAUCGGAAGGAACACCUGUGGCGAAAGCGGCUCACUGGACCAUUACUGACGCUGAUGCACGAAAGCUAGGGGAGCAAACAGG